ACGGAGGAUGCAAGCGUUAUUCGGAAUUAUUGGGCUUAAAGGGCGUGUAGGCGGCAUGAUAAGUCAGAUGUGAAAUCCCUGGGCUCAACUCAGGAAGUGCAUUUGAUACUGUUUCGCUUGAGUACUGGAGAGGGAAGAGGAAUUCCUGGUGUAGCGGUGAAAUUCGUAGAUAUAAGGAGGAACACCGGUGGCGAAGGCGACUUACUGGAUAGAAACUGACGCUGAGGCGCGAGAGCGUGGGGAGCAAACAG
rnacentral:rRNA from 1 species